rnacentral:rRNA from 1 species
UGGGGAAUAUUGCACAAUGGGCGCAAGCCUGAUGCAGCCAUGCCGCGUGUGUGAAGAAGGCCUUCGGGUUGUAAAGCACUUUCAGCGAGGAGGAAGGUGGUGAGCUUAAUACGCUCAUCAAUUGACGUUACUCGCAGAAGAAGCACCGGCUAACUCCGUGCCAGCAGCCGCGGUAAUACGGAGGGUGCAAGCGUUAAUCGGAAUUACUGGGCGUAAAGCGCACGCAGGCGGUUUGUUAAGUCAGAUGUGAAAUCCCCGGGCUCAACCUGGGAACUGCAUUUGAAACUGGCAAGCUAGAGUCUCGUAGAGGGGGGUAGAAUUCCAGGUGUAGCGGUGAAAUGCGUAGAGAUCUGGAGGAAUACCGGUGGCGAAGGCGGCCCCCUGGACGAAGACUGACGCUCAGGUGCGAAAGCGCGGGGAGCAAACAGGAUUAGAUACCCUGGUAGUCCAGCGCUGUAAACGAUGUCGAUUUUGGAGGUUGUGCCCUUGAGGCGUGGCUUCCGGAGCUAACGCGUUAAAUCGACCGCCUGGGGAGUACGGCCGCAAGGUUAAAACUUAAAUGAAUUGC